GAUGAACGCUGGCGGCGUGCCUAAUACAUGCAAGUCGAGCGAACAGACGAGGAGCUUGCUCCUCUGACGUUAGCGGCGGGCGGGUGAGUAACACGUGGAUAACCUACCUAUAAGACUGGGAUAACUUCGGGAAACCGGAGCUAAUACCGGAUAACAUGUUGAACCGCAUGGUUCAACAGUGAAAGACGGUCUUGCUGUCACUUAUAGAUGGAUCCGCGCCGCAUUAGCUAGUUGGUAAGGUAACGGCUUACCAAGGCAACGAUGCGUAGCCGACCUGAGAGGGUGAUCGGCCACACUGGAACUGAGACACGGUCCAGACUCCUACGGGAGGCAGCAGUAGGGAAUCUUCCGCAAUGGGCGAAAUCCUGACGGAGCAACGCCGCGUGAGUGAAGAAGGUCUUCGGAUCGUAAAACUCUGUUAUUAGGGAAGAACAAAUGUGUAAGUAACUAUGCACGUCUUGACGGUACCUAAUCAGAAAGCCACGGCUAACUACGUG
rnacentral:rRNA from 1 species